rnacentral:rRNA from 1 species
CCUACGGGAGGCAGCAGUAGGGAAUAUUGCUCAAUGGGGGAAACCCUGAAGCAGCAACGCCGCGUGGAGGAUGGAGGUUUUCGGCUUGUAAACUCCUUUUGUUAGAGAAGAUAAUGACGGUAUCUAACGAAUAAGCACCGGCUAACUCCGUACCAGCAGCCGCGGUAAUACGGAGGGGGCAAGCGUUACUCGGAAUCACUGGGCGUAAAGAGCGCGUAGGCGGGAUAGUAAGUCAGAUGUGAAAUCUUAUGGCUUAACCAUAGAAUUGCAAUUGAAACUGGUAUUCUUGAGUAUGGGAGAGGUAGGUGGAAUUCGUGGUGUAGGGGUAAAAUGCGUAGAGAUCAAGAAGAAUACUGAUUGCGAAGGCGACCUGCUAGAACAUAACUGACACUGAUGCGCGAAAGCGUGGGGAGUAAACAGGAUUAGAUACCCCUGUAGUC